ensembl:lncRNA
GUCCUGCCUCUCCCAUCUCCUCAUUGGUUUAUAGAAACAGGACAGAGCUAGUCCGUCCCCUGGUCACAACUCUCCUGGUAGCGCCUUACUGCUGGGUCUGAAGAGGGUGUCUGUGCGGCUGGUCGACUGCAGGAAAACACCAGGGCAGAGUGGAACUGUGAGAGAAGGACACAAGGAGGGAGAUUUGAUUUCAUCAAGGGAAACCCCUAACCAUCGUUCUCUUAGUGGGAGGGGCUUAUCAUCUGGGGAGCCUCAACAUCCUGUUGCUGACGAGACAGAGAAGAGUCUCUCCAGAUUAGAACACCCCAAGAAACACCAGCAGAGACGUACA